rnacentral:rRNA from 1 species
UACAGAGGUCUCAAGCGUUGUUCGGAUUCAUUGGGCGUAAAGGGUGCGUAGGCGGCGCGGUAAGUCGGGUGUGAAAUCUUGGAGCUUAACUCCGAAACUGCAUUCGAUACUGCCGUGCUUGAGGACUGGAGAGGAGACUGGAAUUUACGGUGUAGCGGUGAAAAUGCGUAGAUAUCGUAAGGAAGACCAGUGGCGAAGGCGGGUCUCUGGACAGUUCCUGACGCUGAGGCACGAAGGCCCAGGGGGAGCAAAACGGGG